GUCGAGCGAACGGACGAGAAGCUUGCUUCUCUGAUGUUAGCGGCGGACGGGUGAGUAACACGUGGAUAACCUACCUAUAAGACUGGGAUAACUUCGGGAAACCGGAGCUAAUACCGGAUAAUAUUUUGAACCGCAUGGUUCAAAAGUGAAAGACGGUCUUGCUGUCACUUAUAGAUGGAUCCGCGCUGCAUUAGCUAGUUGGUAAGGUAACGGCUUACCAAGGCAACGAUGCAUAGCCGACCUGAGAGGGUGAUCGGCCACACUGGAACUGAGACACGGUCCAGACUCCUACGGGAGGCAGCAGUAGGGAAUCUUCCGCAAUGGGCGAAAGCCUGACGGAGCAACGCCGCGUGAGUGAUGAAGGUCUUCGGAUCGUAAAACUCUGUUAUUAGGGAAGAACAUAUGUGUAAGUAACUGUGCACAUCUUGACGGUACCUAAUCAGAAAGCCACGGCUAACUACGUGCCAGCAGCCGCGGUAAUACGUAGGUGGCAAGCGUUAUCCGGAAUUAUUGGGCGUAAAGCGCGCGUAGGCGGUUUUUUAAGUCUGAUGUGAGAGCCCACGGCUCAACCGUGGAGGGUCAUUGGAAACUGGAAAACUUGAGUGCAGAAGAGGAAAGUGGAAUUCCAUGUGUAGCGGUGAAAUGCGCAGAGAUAUGGAGGAACACCAGUGGCGAA
rnacentral:rRNA from 1 species